GGAGCUUGCUCCACCGGAAAAAGAAGAGUGGCGAACGGGUGAGUAACACGUGGGUAACCUGCCCAUCAGAAGGGGAUAACACUUGGAAACAGGUGCUAAUACCGUAUAACAAUCGAAACCGCAUGGUUUUGAUUUGAAAGGCGCUUUCGGGUGUCGCUGAUGGAUGGACCCGCGGUGCAUUAGCUAGUUGGUGAGGUAACGGCUCACCAAGGCCACGAUGCAUAGCCGACCUGAGAGGGUGAUCGGCCACAUUGGGACUGAGACACGGCCCAAACUCCUACGGGAGGCAGCAGUAGGGAAUCUUCGGCAAUGGACGAAAGUCUGACCGAGCAACGCCGCGUGAGUGAAGAAGGUUUUCGGAUCGUAAAACUCUGUUGUUAGAGAAGAACAAGGAUGAGAGUAACUGUUCAUCCCUUGACGGUAUCUAACCAGAAAGCCACGGCUAACUACGUGCCAGCAGCCGCGGUAAUACGUAGGUGGCAAGCGUUGUCCGGAUUUAUUGGGCGUAAAGCGAGCGCAGGCGGUUUCUUAAGUCUGAUGUGAAAGCCCCCGGCUCAACCGGGGAGGGUCAUUGGAAACUGGGAGACUUGAGUGCAGAAGAGGAGAGUGGAAUUCCAUGUGUAGCGGUGAAAUGCGUAGAUAUAUGGAGGAACACCAGUGGCGAAGGCGGCUCUCUGGUCUGUAACUGACGCUGAGGCUCGAAAGCGUGGGGAGCAAACAGGAUUAGAUACCCUGGUAGUCCACGCCGUAAACGAUGAGUGCUAAGUGUUGGAGGGUUUCCGCCCUUCAGUGCUGCAGCUAACGCAUUAAGCACUCCGCCUGGGGAGUACGACCGCAAGGUUGAAACUCAAAGGAAUUGACGGGGGCCCGCACAAGCGGUGGAGCAUGUGGUUUAAUUCGAAGCAACGCGAAGAACCUUACCAGGUCUUGACAUCCUUUGACCACUCUAGAGAUAGAGCUUCCCCUUCGGGGGCAAAGUGACAGGUGGUGCAUGGUUGUCGUCAGCUCGUGUCGUGAGAUGUUGGGUUAAGUCCCGCAACGAGCGCAACCCUUAUUGUUAGUUGCCAUCAUUCAGUUGGGCACUCUAGCAAGACUGCCGGUGACAAACCGGAGGAAGGUGGGGAUGACGUCAAAUCAUCAUGCCCCUUAUGACCUGGGCUACACACGUGCUACAAUGGGAAGUACAACGAGUCGCGAAGUCGCGAGGCUAAGCUAAUCUCUUAAAGCUUCUCUCAGUUCGGAUUGUAGGCUGCAACUCGCCUACAUGAAGCCGGAAUCGCUAGUAAUCGCGGAUCAGCACGCCGCGGUGAAUACGUUCCCGGGCCUUG
rnacentral:rRNA from 1 species